GGGUGAGAUCAUACCAGCACUAAUGCACCGGAUCCCAUCAGAACUCCGCAGUGAAGCGUGUUCGGGCAAGAGUAGUACUAGGAUGGGUGACCUCCUGGGAAGUCUUCGUGUUGCACCCC
rnacentral:rRNA from 1 species